UUCCUGGUAUGAUAGUUCCCUGUCCAUCGUCACAAACGGCUUACAGAGACAGUGGUAACCAUGGAGAUGUCUGGGGACAUUGUUUAUACCAAUGAAGAUGUUUUCGGGGAACCGUUUGGAGUUGACAACCAUAACUAUGUCUUUGAAGAGUCAAUGUAUGAAACUCCAGAUAUGUCUACUUACUACCAGACUGGGAAUGAAGUGAACCCAAGAAGGACACCACAACCUGGUUACUCAGGUUCUGAUAGCUCAUGGAAGAGACCCUUCCUUGUUGCUGCAGUGUCUCUGGGGCUGCUGUGUGUUCUCCUACUGGCUGGGAUCAUUGGCUUGUCAGUCUCCUAUUUGAUCGAUGGAUCUGGAUCGGUCUGACAGAGAGACACAGGGAACCUGGAAAUGGGUGGACGGCACACCACUGACCAAAGCGUUCUGGUGGUGGUCAGAACCUGAUUCUGCCGCUGGAGAGAAGGACUGUGCUAUGAUGUAUGGAGGUGUACAAAAUAUUCCUCUACACGCAUGGAAUUACUUUAGGUGUGACUUGAAAUUGGAAUGGAUUUGUGAGGUGUUUUUUUCUUAACAAUACCAUAACAACAUUGUGUACUCUCAAACAUACACACACACACACACACACACACACACCUUAAACUUGUCACGCCAUAUUAUGCUUGUGAUACAGUCACAAUAAAGUUUUAUCAGAUUUA